AUGCAGCACUGUACACAUUUGCAUAGUAUGUUUUACCCAGCAUGCCUCGUCGAAUGCUACACAGACAGUAUCUAUAGAGGAAAUACUUGUAAGGCAAGUGAUCUGUGGUAUGUGACGUUUACAGACGAGGCAGUCAAACGCGGUGUCAGCAGCAGGACCCAGUCCAGACAGUCCCGCACUGCCAAGACGUCUGAGGGGAAAAGAAACCACCAGCAACGCUCUGCGAAUGGGCGCUGGCAGCUGCCCUGCUGGAGGCACCGAGCGCCCUCCGCCCCACUGCCUGCUGGUGUGCCUGGGUCGCUCAGAGCCAGCCAGAAAGACGCGGUGCCAGAAGCGGGCUCGGCAAUGAGAAGUGGUGUGCCUAGCGAGACACGGGGCGUGCUUCACGAACUCCUCUUGCUUAGCAAGUACAGAAUAUGGGGCACCACCUCAUUUCCACGGUAAGACGAUAUUUCAGAGGAAAAUCUAGGCAUAGGGCCACGCUGCACUAGCGGUGCUUGACUGAUUUUUACCAGCCCACCACGUUUAGAAAAUGAUCACAGAAUUUGGCCUACUAUUUAUAAACUAAAAUGUGACGUAGAACGGCUUUAAUUGUCUUCCCUUUUAAACAGCAAUUUCAUAAUAUACUCACUGAGAAAACACCGUCAGUUGUGAGGUGCACAUCCCAUAGGAUAACUGCUCGGCCAUGUAGCUAAGUAUAAGAACCUGUACAUCUGUUAAAUACAACUUGCCAAAAAGGAAAUACUUUGAAUUAAGAAUUUAACAGUGAAUGGUCUUUAAAGGGGCUACAAGAUUUUUGAAAUACUUUGCUAAUCCAUUCACAAGCACAUGAAUGCACUGACAUAUAUUGUCUUUAGACCUUAAUACUGCCGUAUCACUUUUAUUGGGCAAACUAUCAGCAAUCCAAAAGUGUCCUAACAAAAAAAAAAAAAACAACAAAAUGUAACAAAAAAAAAAUAUAAACAUUUCUAAAAUUCUCUGUAUAAGCCAGAGCUUAGGAACAGAACUCUGAUCUUUACGGUAAUAAUAUUUUAAUAGCAAGAGAAAUGGUAUGAGGACUGGAAAAUUAGUCGUACUCGUAUUCAUUGAGGAAUACAUGAACUUCACAAUUUUAUAUAGCGCCAUUGCAUAAUAAAUCACAAUACAGCUGGCUAGCAUUGCUGAAGUUCUAAUACAAAUACUAUGAGUUAACAUGUCCUGAUCAACAUUGCAGCUGUUACUGAUUACUGUGUUUCCUAAAAAUAAUUUAUUUUUAAAAAUGAAAGAGUUCCAGUAGCUCGUAUCUAGAAUAAAUUAAUAAUCUAUCAGCAUGUUCAGUAUAUUUGUACUUAAAGAUAUAUCUAUCUUCAAAGAAUAAAAAAACCACCAAGCAAUGAGAUCUGCUGGAUCUUUUAUAAUUGAGUUCUUAUAUUAAAAUGGAAUGGACAGUGGGAGAGAAGAGGGUAAACUAAUUACAUACAAUAGUAAAGUAAACUUAAACCCAUAUAAUAAAGGAACUCGAUAGGUUCCUUCAAGACAAUACAUGACUUCCCUCACGAGAUCGAUUUAUUAGAACAAAGAAAGUAGUUUUGGCACUUCAGAUGCUGCAGGUGAUGGAAUUUAUGCAUAUGUGUUGUGUAGAUCUUUCCCUUUACUAGCGUGACAUGGAAGACUUCAAAACAAGGCUCCAAAAGGCUCUAGAAAUAAAUGCCAUUUUUGUCUAGGAAAUGAUAAAGCAGUAACCUUGUUUACUAGAAAAUAUAUGUAGGUGCUCCGCAGCUACCUGCCAUUAAAAUGCAAAUAUCUUCAAGCAAUUAAAUGAUCUGAUCCCUAAUGCUACUACAGAAUAAAGAUAAACAGCUGUCUAAUCUAGCUUUAUACAUCUCAGUGCAUCCUUUGCAAUUAAUACUUUAAUGCACACAAACAAGAAACUUAUUAAAGCUCAUAGAAAAAAUGUUUUGCCUAAUGCCUUCUUUCUCAUGCAGGUAUGUGUGCUGUACAUGUAAUAAAGAUUUGUAAAAAUUACUGGAGAAUGCUCCACUGUGCUAUAGCAGAAAAUAUUAGAGAAGGCAGCUGAAGCUACCAUUCCCAGACCAGAUCUCGUGGUGCUUUCUCACCCUAAAUGCGCUUUUGGAAUCUGCAGGCAUUUAGUUGGAGAAAAUCAAACGGGAUCAGGUCUGUCGUGUCCAUUCUUAACUCUACUACUCCAAUGGAUGCAGGUAUUCUAAUUUUUUUCUUGGUAACUGGCCCAUUUGAAUCACCUAGUAAUGUUUAAGGAUGCCUUUUAGGCAGAAGAACUGUUUAAAAAACUAAUCAUGCAUCCACGAUUUUUUAAUGCUGCUAGAGAUGUACAUCAUUUUUGGCUACACCAGAUAUGAGAUGAAUUACUUUUCUUGUUAGUAACAACAAGAAGAUAACCAGACUCAAUGGUGGUGGAAAAUCUCAGUGAUCUUUGUUAACUGGUCCAGAAAGUAGAAUAAACUGUAGUAUCCAGGAAGUUCAGUUAGUGCUACAUGCUUUUAAAGCCCGCUUUUGGGAAGAAAAGAAGCGGAUACAAAAGUCAAUGAUCCUCAUUUUUUGCAAAAAUAGUUUUGCCAUGAACCUGCAUAAAAAAUGCGUGUUCAGCAUAGUUCUGUCAAUUUUAGAAAAUGCAUGCAGUGUGGAGCUUUAGGAGUCUCUGCUUAAAGACAUCAGUGUGUUGUACAAAAUUGUCAGUUCUGGUAACUUUUUCCAUCAUAUUGGAUCUAAGGCUUCACUGAUGAUGUAAGACAUAAGGUCUGAUCACAUAAGUUUAUCUAUUUAAAAAGAAAUGAAGACUCAGUGGGUGAGAAGAAGUGAUCAUUAAGAAGUAAGGCAGCAGUAUCUCCAAAGAUUUAUCAUAGUUCUUUGAAUUAAAAACGUCAGCUCUACAACUUUAUGUGAGCAGAUUUUUUUUUCUGAUACUCCAUUUUUAUUGCAAGCUAAUUCUGACCAAUUUCCUAUUUUAACUUUUGAUACUUUAUGAGUGUUCAACCCCGCCCCCUUCCCUCAGAUUUCACUACUGAAAUUUAAACUGAUGUUCUUCUGGAGAAUUCUUGUGCGAUGCUGGAAUUUUCAGACAUUCAAAGAUGGAUUUUGAAAGAUGUAACAAACAGGUACUCAGACGUACUGGAAUGUGGGUAGUCUACAUACUGGGUAUGAAAAGUGUAUUGUUUUUCAUUUAAAAAGGCAGAAUAGUAAAAAUGGGAGAAAAAAUUACUUAUCUAUCCACCAAUAUUCUGUUUUGGGACUACUAGCUAUAUUCAGGUAAGCGAAAGGAGAGAAAAAAAAACAAAGCCUAUUCUCAACCUCUAACCAUACAAACCAUUCCUACGUUUGUUCAUGUUCCUAUUUCCCUUGAUCCUGUCAUAGUUCAUCUUUGCUGACUGCAACACAAAUGCCAGUACUGGCUAAACUAAAGAAAUCAUUUUGCUGCAACACUCAUGCCAGGUCAAAAAAUAAUUUCAAACUGGAAAGUAUUUUGUAACUGCUGCAAUAAUUUGUGAUAUUUGGCACUCUCAAUAAAUUGUUUGUUUGGUUUGUCUGAAAAAGCUGUUCUGGAAGUAAGUAGUUAGAAUAAAAUACUUUUAUUCUAGAAUAAAAUACUUUUAUUCUAACUCUAAAUGUAAAUUGAGCUUCCAGCAAACAAAUACUGUAGCUGACUUUCCAGCUCCUAGUGAUUUGUAAUUUUCAGAUUUUUCAUUUUAUUUUUUUCAAUUGAUUGCAACAUGCUCAAGUCGACUUUCCAGUCAAUUCACCCGAAUUCCAACAGGAAUUGGCUUAUAAAUUGGUUCCAACUGGAACUGGUCAUUUGGAAUUUCCAGCACAGGAAAUUAUUUUAUAAGUGCCUUGAUAAGUAUCCUAAAUUACAAACUGAUGUGCCUAAUAUCUAAUGACAAGAAAAGGCAUGGCUAUAAAUGUAAAUGCUGUACUAAAAAAAACAAAACCCAAAUACAACCUAUAUGAUUGGGCAUAAACGUAAGGGCAUGGUAACUUUUUUUGUCCCCUACUUAACAUCAAAUGACAGCAGAUUGUAACCUCAGUAUGACCGCAUUACAUCUGCCAAAUUAAGAUGAAUUGGUUUUCCUAGCUACGUUAUGGCAAGUUAUCAACUGAUGAAUACUAUUUUUCCCCGGGUUCUUGAACUCAAAGCCUAUGUCGUGAAUCAUGGCUAUAUCCUCCAGGGGAUCCUCGGUUCCUAUGGGGUUUGUAAGUGUCCUGGUAUGAGUCAGAGUACUCUUCUUCCACUAGAGGAUAGUGAUCUCGGCUGUGUUGGGAACUGGAAGACAAGCGGUUCCUGCUCUUCCGAGCCCUUUCAUUGUGAUAAUUUUCAUCUGAGGUCAUUAGACUUCGUCGCUCAAUGGGAGAGUUCUCUGCAGAAUGGCUGCUGUGCCUCAUACGCUGGCUCUACAAGUGUCAAAGAAUCCAAGCAUUAGUACAAAUAAAGAGUAUUUUGUAUUUUCAAGCUAGUUUUGAAACUUAUUCUGAGGUCUUUCAGAAUCCAUCCACUUUUGAGUAAUUCAUUUUAUAUUAAAACCUGUAUGCUUACAGGAAUGGGUCACAACAACAGUCUGGUUCCUAGAGCUGAAAGCAGAC
rnacentral:lncRNA from 1 species